rnacentral:rRNA from 1 species
GAUGAACGCUAGCGGCAGGCUUAAUACAUGCAAGUCGAGGGGCAGCAGUUUUGUAGCAAUACAGAAGCUGGCGACCGGCAAACGGGUGCGGAACACGUACGCAACCUUCCUUUAACUGGAAGAUAGCCCACCGAAAGGUGGAUUAAUACUCCAUAACAUAUUGAAGAGGCAUCUCUUUGAUAUUAAAGCUCCGGCGGUUAAAGAUGGGCGAGCGUCUGAUUAGGUAGUGGGCGGGGUAACGGCCCACCAAGCCUUCGAUCAGUAGCUGAUGUGAGAGCAUGAUCAGCCACACGGGCACUGAGACACGGGCCCGACUCCUACGGGAGGCAGCAGUAAGGAAUAUUGGUCAAUGGACGCAAGUCUGAACCAGCCAUGCCGCGUGGAGGAUGAAGGCCCUCUGGGUUGUAAACUUCUUUUCUUUGGGACGAAACCCCUGUUUCUACGGGGACUGACGGUACCAGAGGAAUAAGCACCGGCUAACUCCGUGCCAGCAGCCGCCGUAAUAC